CUCUGGAACAAGCCCUGGAAACGGGGUCUAAUACCGGAUAUUGCUCCGGCUGGCAUUUGUGGGGGUUGAAAGCUCCGGGGGUGAAGGAAGAGCCCGCGGCCUAUUAGCUUGUUGGUGAGGUAAUGGCUCACCAAGGCGACGACGGGGUAGCCGGCCUGAGAGGGCGACCGGCCACACUGGGACUGAGACACGGCCCAGACUCCUACGGGAGGCAGCAGUGGGGAAUAUUGCACAAUGGGCGAAAGCCUGAUGCAGCGACGCCGCGUGAGGGAUGACGGCCUUCGGGUUGUAAACCUCUUUCAGCAGGGAAGAAGCGAAAGUGACGGUACCUGCAGAAGAAGCGCCGGCUAACUACGUGCCAGCAGCCGCGGUAAUACGUAGGGCGCGAGCGUUGUCCGGAAUUAUUGGGCGUAAAGAGCUCGUAGGCGGCUUGUCACGUCGGGUGUGAAAGCCCGGGGCUUAACCCCGGGUCUGCAUGUCGAUACGGGCUAGCUAGAGUGUCGGUAGGGGAGAUCGGAAUUCCUGGUGUAGCGGUGAAAUGCGCAGAUAUCAGGAGGAACACCGGUGGCGAAGGCGGAUCUCUGGGCCAGUAUACUGACGCUGAGGAGCGAAAGCGUGGGGAGCGAACAGGAUUAGAUACCCUGGUAGUCCACGCCGUAAACGGUGGGAAACUAGGUGUGGGCGACAUUCCACGUCGUCGGUGCCGCAGCUAACGCAUUAAGUGCC
rnacentral:rRNA from 1 species